CUAGGUUUGACAUGGACGUGGUACCCGGGGCGAAAGCUUUGGGGACCCGCAAGGGAGCGUUCACAGGUGCUGCAUGGCUGUCGUCAGCUCGUGUCGUGAGAUGUUCGGUUAAGUCCGGCAACGAGCGCAACCCUCGCCUCCAGUUACCAGCGAGUAAAGUCGGGGACUCUGGAGGGACUAACCCGUUAGGGUGGGAAGGUGGGGAUGACGUCAAGUCAGUAUGGCCCUUACAUCUAGGGCUGCACACGUGCUACAAUGCCUGGUACAAAAGGAACCAAGACCGCGAGGUGGAGGAAAUCCCUAAAGCCAGGCCCAGUUCAGAUUGGAGUCUGCAACUCGACUCCAUGAAGCCGGAAUCGCUAGUAAUGGAGAUCAGUACG
rnacentral:rRNA from 1 species